GGUAUACCAGUGAAGAACUUGGAUGGGAAAUCCAAGUGAUUUAGGAUGAAUUUUUGCAAGCAGAAUGCGAAAAAUAUAUCAAAAUUAACAAGCUCGCGCAUUCACACAAUUCCUGGAAAAUUUUCUAUUUUCGAGUGGAAUUCUCUGACCGGAAGUGGAAAAAUAGGUAGAAGGUACAUCAGUGAGGGCUAUUUAUGAUGCAUCUAAAGGAUUCUGGUCAAUUUCAGGUCAGCAAGACGGAAAAACACGUUAAAAUCUGGGAGGUCGCGCACUUGCAUAAUUUGUGGGAAAUUUUCUAUUUUUGGGCGAAAAUAUCUCGCCGGAAGUGGAAAAUCGGUUUGGAAGUUCAUCAGUGAGGGCUACGAAUGCGAUAUUUAAGGGAUUCUGGCCGAUCUCAGACCAGCAGGACGUGGAAAAUCGGAAAA